UCAAGCCCAACCCUAAAUAAACGAAAAGAAAAUGAAAAGGACAUAAACUUUGACCUAAUUUUACAAUUAGGAAAUUAUCUCUAAACCCUAUCUGUAUUUGUUGUCUUCUUCUUCUCGAUGCUUCUCCUCCGAUGACGGUGCUGAUGGAUAUCAUGAAUAACUCAUCAACCCUUCCAUUUCAUGCUCGUCUUUCGUCGCUACUAUUGAUUGUCAUUGUUGUUGAUUCGAGCUGCUAUAGUGUUUCUAGAUCUGCACCUCUUUCUCGAUUUGCUUCGACCCUUGGCUGAAAAUUUCAACAUUUUCUUCCACCUUCUUCUCAUGUUUCUCUAGUUUGGCUGUCAACUGUUAAAUCUUCUUCCAGUUUCUCCUCUUGGUCCUCCCUCUCAAGUGCCUCAAAUGCAUUUUGAGUCACAAUGGUAUCCCCUGCUUCCUUGAUGGUAUGAGACUAUGAUCUCCUACUUCUCCCAAAAUAAUUCCACUCUUAUCUCUAAUAUAUUGGUUCCUUCUUCUCUACGUCCAUUCUUGUUUGGCUUGGGUAUUUCCCCUAUUCUUUCUUAAUUUCCUUGUUUCCUCUGCUGUGCUGCAUUACUUGUUUCCUCCAUUUGUCUCUUUUCAUUGCUUUCCUUUCUCAAUUCAUCUCUAUAUUGCUUUUCCGUUUCUGGUUUCAUCAUAUCCCUGUAGUUUAUAAUGUGUGCAAUACUUGGGAAGAAAGUCAUAAUUAAUAAUAAUCCAUUUUGAUUGUGUUUUUCCUGUUUCAUCAUCUUCCUCUGCAAUAUGCAUCCUCUUUGGAUGUUCUGAAAAUAAAUCAAUUUCCACUUUGACUUUGGCACAACUUGGUCUUGUUCGAUUUGCAGUGGCUAGAUCAACUACUAAAGGUUUACCAAUUGUUGAUGCCAUGGAGAAGACUGCAACCUUUGCAAAAAAAAUUGAUGGUGAUUCUGGGAAACUUAUCCACGCUGCUGUUAUAAUUAUUGAUGUCUCUUCAUUGGGUUUGAACCAUGGAUUCCAAAUCAAAAGGCCGCAUUUGACAUUAUCUAGAGUGAACUUUGAUAUAGUAAGCUGGUGUGGAAAUUAUUUUAACAUAGUCCUAAAAAAGAUUCAGCCUGAUCAGAAUAUGCCUGUCUUCAAGCAAUCCUAUUGUUGUUGUCCCUUUGAUAAAGCAUUGCUCAGAAUAGCUGUUCUCAACUCUCUAAUGUUGAUUAUGUCAUAGGAAAAUU